UGAUAAAAGGGGGAAUUAAACCCCUAUAAACAGGCUUACAACCUGUCGCCUAAACAUUCGGCCAUUUUACC
rnacentral:tRNA from 1 species